rnacentral:tRNA from 1 species
AAGAUUUUAGUUAAUUAUAAUAUUAGUUUGUCAAACUAAAGUUAAAUUUUGUUUAUAUCUUU